GAAGAGUAACAUACCUGAAAUACCAAAUUUCAUGAAAGGGAUUCAACCCUUAUGCCCUUGGAUGACCUAAUUCUUAGAAACCCUAAGUAUGAUUAACAACAACAACAACAAACCCAGUGUAUUCCCACCUAGUGGGGUCUGGGGGGGUAAGAUGUACGCAGUCCAUACCUCUACCUCUAAAGAAGUAGAAAGGCUGUUU
rnacentral:lncRNA from 1 species